AGUGGAAGCGUCUGGAAAGGCGCGCGAUACAGGGUGACAGCCCCGUACACAAAAGCGCAUGUGCUGUGAGCUCGAUGAGUAGGGCGGGACACGUGGUAUCCUGUCUGAAUAUGGGGGGACCAUCCUCCAAGGCUAAAUACUCCUGACUGACCGAUAGUGAACCAGUACCGUGAGGGAAAGGCGAAAAGAACCCCGGCGAGGGGAGUGAAAAAGAACCUGAAACCGUGUACGUACAAGCAGUGGGAGCACAGGUUUACCUGUGUGACUGCGUACCUUUUGUAUAAUGGGUCAGCGACUUAUAUUCUGUAGCAAGGUUAACCGWAUAGGGGAGCCGKAGGGAAACCGAGUCUUAACYGGGCGUUAAGUUGCAGGGUAUAGACCCGAAACCCGGUGAUCUAGCCAUGGGCAGGUUGAAGGUUGGGUAACACUAACUGGAGGACCGAACCGACUAAUGUUGAAAAAUUAGCGGAUGACCUGUGGCUGGGGGUGAAAGGCCAAUCAAACCGGGAG
rnacentral:rRNA from 1 species